GCCCGGCUGGCGUAAUGGUUAACGCGUGGGACUUCUACGGAUGUGUGAGUCUGUGAGUCAUCCCAAGAUUGCGAGUUCGAGUCUCGCGUCGGGUU